AGAGUUUGAUCAUGGCUCAGGAUGAACGCUAGCGGCAGGCCUAAUACAUGCAAGUCGAACGGUAAGUGUUAUAGCAAUAUGACACCAAGAGUGACGCACGGGUGCGUAACACGUAUGCAACCUACCCUUUACAGGCGGAUAGCUCGGGGAAACUCGAAUUAACCCGCCAUAAUAUAAUUGAGUGGCAUCAUUUGGUUAUUAAAUCUGCGGAGGUAAAGGAUGGGCAUGCGUCUGAUUAGCUAGUUGGUAGUGUAGUGGACUACCAAGGCGAUGAUCAGUAGGGGAACUGAGAGGUUGAUCCCCCACACUGGCACUGAGAUACGGGCCAGACUCCUACGGGAGGCAGCAGUAGGGAAUAUUGGUCAAUGGGUGAGAGCCUGAACCAGCCAUGCCGCGUGCAGGAAGAAGGCCUUCUGGGUUGUAAACUGCUUUUGCCAGGGGAUAAAAUUUCCUUGCGAGGAAAAUUGAAGGUACCUGGUGAAUAAGCCACGGCUAACUACGUGCCAGCAGCGGCGGUAAUUC
rnacentral:rRNA from 1 species